AACUGCUCACAUUUGCUUCCUUUGUGACGCUAGGUUUAGCAACUGGAGGUAAUGUAUAAGUAAACGGCGUGUUUUCGCUGCCCGAGGAUGCCUCUCAUCCCCUAUCACCUUCCCCUGAACUCUGCCACCCUUUCAGUGGAGGUGCUCCAAGGCAAGGCCGCUGAGGGAUUUCUUCCUGGUCAAAUUUCCAGUUCAAGUGGUUAUGGAUCUCUGAAGGGAUGGCCUCCAGGGGACCUCGCUUCAGACUGACGGCUCCCACCUGUUUACCAUUAGGCUGUCCAUAUUAACCUUUGCCUUGUUUGCCUGACUUUGCCCAUCUCUGAUUUCAGGCUGAGAGUUACAGGACAGAAGUGGAAUACAAUGUUGCAGAAGGCUAACCCCAAGGGCAGCUCCAGAGUGAAGUUCCUAAGUGAAGUGUCUCACCCUGCGAUCCCAGGCCUUUAACUUGGGAGGAGAAAUGGCAACAGAAGUCAACAUAUUCUGCUAAUGUUGACAACACAAAGAAAAGAGUUCCAAGACAAAUCUAUAUGUGACAAACUUCCAUGCGUAAGAACAUAGACUACAAGAAAUAUGACAUAUUGUCAGUCCUCAGACCUCAGUAAAUAUAGACAUGAUUGUCUACUUCACACAGGAGGGAUCUGAGACACAAGAUAGACUUGGAGUUUUGCAAACGCUCAAAUGUCACGUGGAGUGAGGCCUGACAGAGACCCCAGAAAGUCAAGAGAGACCUGGAAUCAAAUAAUCUGUGCCACACUUAAGAGAAUGUGUACAACUCGGAGCAAGCACUUUUAACGUUACUACACUUUGAUCUCCUCCACUAAUUAUAAUUAUUGUGAGCUAUGAGCUAUGAAGAUAAAAAUUCAUACAAAGUUCUUCACAGAGUAGGUAAGGUGUUUCAGA